rnacentral:tRNA from 1 species
AAUUCAGUGCCUGAAAAAGGGCUAUUAUGAUAUAAUAGAUUAUGUGUAAAUUUACACCUUUAUUG